GCCCAUGUCGCUGAAACACGCGACCACGCUCAUCAAAUCCCUGUGCGCGCGCGGCGUGGUCCGCCACGCCCGCGCCGUGUUCGACGAAAUGCCCGACCGGGACGUCGUGGCGUGGACGGCCAUGCUCUCCGGCUACGCCUCCAGCGGCUGCCACCGUGAGGCGCUGGACGUAUUCCGGCGCAUGCUCGCGGCCGGCGUUGUCCCCAACGAGUUCACUCUGUCCAGCGUCCUGACCGCGUGCCGUGGCGGCGGCGGCGCAGCGUUGAUCCAUGCCGUCGCUGUGAUGCGGGGCGUGGACCACAUGCCGUACGUAGUGAACGCGCUCAUCGACGCGUACGCGUCCCACGGGGACGGCCUCGUGGACGCGAGGAGGCUGUUCGAAGCGCUGGGAGGACGGCGCACGGCUGCGUCGUGGACGUCCAUGAUAGCCGGUUAUGUCCGUUGGGGACAGGAGAAUACGGGGCUACAAUUGUUCCAAAAUAUCAUUCAGGAUGAUGUUGAACUGAGUCCAUUCACCUGCUCUAUUGCAAUCCAUGCAUGUGCUUCAGUAGGAAACUUAUGUUUUGGACAGCAAAUUCAUGUACUCUCCAUAAGGAAAGCUCUUGGAGUGAAUCUUGCUGUUGCAAAUUCUCUGGUCGACAUGUACUGCAUUUGUGAAAGCAUACUGGAAGCUAGGAGGCUUUUUGAUGAGAUGCCUGAAAGAAACUUGGUCACCUGGAAUACCAUUAUUGCUGGAUCUAGCCGAUGUGAUCCUCUAAUGGCCAUGCAGCUGCUUGUUGACAUGAAUCUUGAGCCAAAUUGCUUGACUCUAACUAGCAUCACAUCAGCAUGUGCUGGUCUUGCAGCUCUGAGAUGUGGUCAGCAGGUCCAUGGGGCUGUACUUCGGAGAAACUAUGGCGAUGACCUAAAGAUUUCCAAUGCCCUUGUGGACAUGUACUCCAAGUGUGGAAGCAUUUCUAAUGCUAAGAAGGUAUUUAACAUGAUGAAUUGCAAGGACAUAGUAUCAUGGACAUCAAUGAUUGGUGGGUAUGGGACGAAUGGGUGUGCGAAUGAGGCCAUCGAGCUGUUCAAUUCCAUGGUCCAUGCUGGGGUUCAUCCAGACCAUGUUGUGUUCAUGGGCCUGAUCAGUGCUUGCAGCCAUGCUGGUUUAGUAGAUGAAGGAUGGAACCUUUUAAGGUCAAUGUUAUUUGAGUAUGAUAUUCAACCUAACAAGGAGAUUUAUGGUUGUGUCACCAAUCUUCUUGCUCGUGCAGGGAUGCUGAGAGAAGCCUUUAACCUCAUUGAUACAAUGCCACUCACUCCUGAUGAACCUGUCUGGGGAGCAUUGCUUGAUGCUUGCAAGAUGCACAAGAAUGUAGACCUGGGCAGACUAGUUGCAAGGAAAAUAAUUGAGAUUAAUCCUGAUGAAGUGAGGGCUUAUGUCCUGCUUGCAAACAUAUACGCUGCAGAUAGCAAAUGGGGUGAGUGUGCUGUGACAAGGAAGUUAUUGAGGGGCACAGGAAGCAGUAAGGAGGUCGGAAUGAGUUGGAUAGAGGUGACAGAUAAGGUGUAUAGUUUUAGCACAGCUGACAGUAGUAGUCCUCAAGUUAGUUUGGCAGAUGAGGUAUUGCAGAUCUUAGCUCAACACAUGGAUGAAACUGGAAAUGAUUUUGUUGACAAUAUUUCCAGAGCUGUAUGAUAUUUUUUUUCUUAAAUGGUUCCUCCAUUCUUAGUCAAAUAUUUCAGAAGCUGAUUCUGGAGGUUUGAGUUCUGAUAGCAACUGCCCAGAACUAAACAAAUUGUUUAUGCAGUGUAAAGAGAAUUUAACAGAGAUAUACGGUUUACUAGCUUUGUAAGGCAUUAAAUAUCUGAAAAGUUCUUCAGGUUGAAGAAACAGGUAUGAUAAAUUUUUAAGUAAAUCACAGUUUUUUUCCAAAUUUUUUUACAGACGACCUUGAUUAUAUCAUGCCCUUCUAUUAUAAUUUUGUCAGCUUAUUUUGAACCCAAAACUGAAUCUUUGGACACGUAGCUGAAAGGUUUUGAACAAAAAAGAAUGACUAGUAAAAAUGAGCAAGGAAUGGUAACCUGUAGUGAGAUUUGCUCAUGACUUUUGUACAAUUACUUGGGGCUGAUAUCCUCAAAGACCAGCUUUACUCACAUGAUGUUAUUAUUUCUGCAAUUUUAUUCUACAUUUCACUGCCAAAUAGUCAACACGUGUAUUUUUGAGGGUAAGAAUGGUAAAACAUCACAUUUUGACUAUA